UCUGGGAUAUUCUUGUGUUGGUGUGUACCAUCACGGGUUUCUCCCAAAUCAGUGACAUCCGGCGCUGGAUCAGGUUUUGCGUGAACACCUGAACACUUGCUGCUCUGCUAAGUGGAAGAUUAAUGCUGAUAUGAUGUCCUUCCAUCCCACUUAAUGGAGCUUGGCGUCCCGGUUUCCUGUUGUAUGAGUAAUCCAUGCAGUUACACUGCUGCCCGGUGGGAGGAGGCGAGCUGUGGUUCAGUGUGGAAACAGGAUGUGGGUAGGAAAACUGGGCAUCUGCCACAUGCCAUCAAACCUCUGGAACUCAUUUGUAUAAGCCAUGCUUGAAGGGAGGAGAGAGUGAGGCACAGGGAGGCGGAUGACACCCGUGGCAGACAGGCACUGUUCACUUCCCAACCGGCUGCUUCUGUGUGCUUUGACGCCACUUCUGAACUCUAUGAGAUGACAGCAAACUCCCCUCCCUACAGAAUAUGGCAACAAGGGGGGCGGUGGGGGAGAACAUUUUUAUUAUUAUUUUUGGGGGGAGCGCUCUGGAGGAACUGGACGAAACAUGUGGAGCUUGACUUGAACUCCUGGAUGUCAAGUGGCACUCGUCUGUCAUCAGAGAUAGUCGGGAAGGUUAGUGAGACGCUCAAGGGUCCGCUUGGUACACAUCUGUAGCUGAAAUCCAAAGUGGAGCGACCUGCUCGCACGGUCACAGCUGUUGGAUGGAGCACGAGAAGCUCAGGAGGAUCGACAGCAGACGGAACGGCCGUGGUGGGGAGGGUUCCUGGCAUCGUGAUUUGAUGCACAAAGACAAAUUAAAAUCACAUUGCCAGGGAUUUCCACUCCCUCACGGCUCAGUGGACGAGGACCAUUUGGUUAGGUGGCACGGAAAAGUUAGCUACACCUGCACAAGCCAACACAAGAGCUGUAUGAAAAAGUCUUCAGAAAUGCCAAAAAUGACAUUCAUGCAUUAAUCAUUUCCGUUGGAACAAAAUAUACGAGCUCUCGCGAUGAUGCAGUACUGCCACCUACAGGACUGGAGUUGAGUAUUAUAAACUUGGCUUCACAAAUGCCAUUGCACUGUAAGAAUUGGAUUUAAAGCAGACUUUUCCAUACAGCUCUUGCAUCGGCUCUCAUUUGCCUGUGCAGUUGUACCUAAUGUUGCGUCCCAUUAAUAUAUGUUCAAUCAAAAAAAGAGUGGGACUAUUUUUGACAUGUGAAAAGAAUUUGAAGAAUGUCCAAUGCGUGCGUGUGAGGCCCAAGCAGCCACUUGCUAAAGGCACAGAGCUUAGCUAAUUGGUGAGCAUUGAUCCCUGCUAUGUGUUGUUCACAGUGGCUAAGUUCAGUGCCUGAGGUGAAAUAGUUGAUUCGACUGAGAGGAUUUGUUCCGCUGAAUGGAAAGAACUUGAUGAUCUCAGAUAUGAAGACAGGAGGAGGUGGAGUGAGACCAAAGGAAGGAAGUGAUCCAAAGUCGGAACUGGACUUGAUUCAAAUGUGACUGCACAGCGUUUCUGCAUAAAUCUGACAAAAAAAUCAUCACACGUUUUCAAGAUGAUGGAUAUAAAAAAAA